rnacentral:rRNA from 1 species
GACGAACGCUGGCGGCGUGCCUAAUACAUGCAAGUUGAGCGCUGAAGGAUGGUGCUUGUGCCAACUGGAUGAGCAGCGAACGGGUGAGUAACGCGUGGGGAAUCUGCCUUUGAGCGGGGGACAACAUUGGGAAACGAAUGCUAAUACCGCAUAAAAACUUUAAACACAAGAUUUAAGUUUGAAAGAUGCAAUGGCAUCACUCAAAGGUGAUUCCGCGAUGUAUUAGCUAGUUGGUGAGGUAAAGGCCCACCAAGGCGAUGAUACAUAGCCGACCUGAGAGGGUGGUCGGCCACAUUGGGACUGAGACACGGCCCAAACUCCUACGGGAGGCAGCAGUAGGGAAUCUUCGGCAAUGGACGGAAGUCUGAACGAGCAACGCCGCGUGAGUGAAGAAGGGUUUCGGAUCGUAAAACUCUGUUGGUAGAGAAGAACGUUGGUGAGAGUGGAAAGCUCAUCAAGUGACGGUAACUACCCAGAAAGCAACGGCUAACUACGUG